rnacentral:rRNA from 1 species
UGGGGAAUAUUGCACAAUGGGCGAAAGCCUGAUGCAGCAACGCCGCGUGAGUGAUGAAGGUCUUCGGAUUGUAAAGCUCUGUCUUUUGGGACGAUAAUGACGGUACCAAAGGAGGAAGCCACGGCUAACUACGUGCCAGCAGCCGCGGUAAUACGUAGGUGGCGAGCGUUGUCCGGAUUUACUGGGCGUGAAGGGUGCGUAGGCGGAUGUUUAAGUGAGAUGUGAAAUACCCGGGCUUAACUUGGGUGCUGCAUUUCAAACUGGAUAUCUAGAGUGCAGGAGAGGAGAAUGGAAUUCCUAGUGUAGCGGUGAAAUGCGUAGAGAUUAGGAAGAACACCAGUGGCGAAGGCGAUUCUCUGGACUGUAACUGACGCUGAGGCACGAAAGCGUGGGUAGCAAACAGGAUUAGAUACCCUGGUAGUCCACGCCGUAAACGAUGAGUACUAGGUGUAGGAGGUAUCGACCCCUUCUGUGCCGCAGUAAA